GCGUUGGUGGUAUAGUGGUUAGAAUAACUGACUUCCAGCAGUUGACCCGGGUUCGAUUCCCGGCCAACGCA
rnacentral:tRNA from 1 species